UACGGAGGGUGCAAGCGUUAUCCGGAUUUACUGGGUUUAAAGGGUGCGUAGGCGGGCAGGUAAGUCAGUGGUGAAAUCCCCGGGCUUAACCCGGGAACUGCCAUUGAUACUAUCUGUCUUGAAUAUCCUGGAGGUGAGCGGAAUAUGUCAUGUAGCGGUGAAAUGCUUAGAUAUGACAUAGAACACCCAUUGCGAAGGCAGCUCACUACGGGAUUAUUGACACUGAGGCACGAAAGCGUGGGGAUCAAACAGG
rnacentral:rRNA from 1 species